rfam:Hordeum vulgare subsp. vulgare, WGS project CAJW01000000 data, contig: morex_contig_248054
UCUAUACUCUCUCCGUCUGAAAUUACUUGUCGUAAAACUUGAUAAGAAUGGAUAUAUCUAGAACUAAAAUACAUCUAGAUACAUCCAUUCCUCCAACAAGUAAUUCCGGACUAAGGGAGUACGCC